rnacentral:rRNA from 1 species
GUAGGGAAUAUUGCACAAUGGGCGAAAGCCUGAUGCAGCAACGCCGCGUGCGCGAUGAAGGCCUUCGGGUUGUAAAGCGCUUUUCGGGGAGAUGAGGAAGGACAGUAUCCCCGGAAUAAGGCUCGGCUAACUACGUGCCAGCAGCCGCGGUAACACGUAGGAGCCAAGCGUUAUCCGAAUUCACUGGGCGUAAAGCGCGUGCAGGCGGCUCGGUAAGUUGGAUGUGAAAUCUCCUGGCUCAACUGGGAGAGGCCGUUCAAUACUGUCGGGCUAGAGGGCAGCAGAGGGAGGUGGAAUUCCCGGUGUAGUGGUGAAAUGCGUAGAUAUCGGGAGGAACACCAGUGGCGAAGGCGGCCUCCUGGGCUGCACCUGACGCUCAGACGCGAAAGCUAGGGGAGCGAACGGGAUUAGAAACCCGAGUAGUCC